AAGAUACUGCUCAGUAACACGUGGACAACCUGCCCUUAGGACGGGGAUAAACCCGGGAAACUGGGUAUAAUACCCGAUAGGUCUCGAUUGCUGGAAUGCAUCGAGAUUUAAAGCUCCGGCGCCUAAGGAUGGGUCUGCGGCCUAUCAGGUAGUAGUGGGUGUAGCGUACCUACUAGCCUACGACGGGUACGGGUUGUGAGAGCAAGAGCCCGGAGAUGGAUUCUGAGACACGAAUCCAGGCCCUACGGGGUGCAGCAGGCGCGAAAACUUUACAAUGCUGGCAACAGCGAUAAGGGAACCUCGAGUGCCAGGUUACAAAUCUGGCUGUCGAGAUGCCUAAAAAGCAUUUCAUAGCAAGGGCCGGGCAAGACCAGUGCCAGCCGCCGCGGUAACACCGGCGGCUCGAGUGGUAACCGUUAUUAUUGGGUCUAAAGGGUCUGUAGCCGGCCGGAUAAGUCUCUUGAGAAAUCUGGCAGCUUAACUGUCAGGCUUUCAGGAGAUACUGUCUGGCUCGAGGCCGGGAGAGGUGAGAGGUACUUCAGGGGUAGGGGUGAAAUCUUGUAAUCCUUGAAGGACCACCAGUGGCGAAGGCGUCUCACCAGAACGGACCUGACGGCAAGGGACGAAAGCUAGGGGCACGAACCGGAUUAGAUACCCGGGUAGUCCUAGCCGUAAACGAUACUCGCUAGGUGUCGGCCACGGUGCGACCGUUGUCGGUGCCGUAGGGAAGCCGUGAAGCGAGCCACCUGNGAAGUACGGCCGCAAGGCUGAAACUCAAAGGAAUUGGCGGGGGAGCAC
rnacentral:rRNA from 1 species